rnacentral:rRNA from 1 species
GGGUCAGCAGGUUGGUCGUGCCAAUGGUAUGCACUGGCCUUGCUGAUUCCUCCCUCUUGAUGAGCCGUAAUGCCAUUAAUUUGGUGUUGCGGGGAAUCAGGACUGUUACUUUGAAAAAAUUAGAGUGUUCAAAGCAGGCGUAACCUUGCCAUUGAAUAUUACAGCAUGGGAUAAUAGAAU